rnacentral:lncRNA from 1 species
AUUUACCUCUGUUUUAGCUUGGGUAUGUCCUCUAUUUUUCAGGGAAUAAGAACAGAGGAAGAGCCCUGUUAGAUCGCACUAAAAAUAAAGGCUGCAAUCCUAUGCACACUUACUUUAGGUUCAACCGCAUUGGCUUCGUGCAUAGGGUUUUAGUGCUAGUCCAGAAUCCUCCUUCCCAUAGUGGUCAAUAGUUGUCUCCCAAAGCCCACAAGUAAGGUAUGAAGGGGUCACCCCAGGUAUAAUUGGAAGAAAGUUUCUCAUUGUUGCUUUAAAAGCUUGGGAUUUGCACUCUGCCCACACUCUGGAGCUAACUUACUUUAAACCACCUUCUAAACAUUGUUUUGGUGAGGUAAUCCCAGUCUAGAAUGCAGACUGGUCACCUUCAGAUGCAAAUGCUUUGCCCUUUAUCAUUCCGUGGGCUACUGAACUGGAAACAUGUAACCAAUGCCUAACUCCAGCCAGAAACAUCUGGGAAAGAAUUUAUUUAUUUAUUUAUUUAUUUAUUAUUUUUGUUGUUGUUGUUGUUGUUGUUGUUAUUAUUAUAUAGUUAUUUAUACUUCCCCUUUUUUCCUGAGAAAACUCAAAGCAGUUUACAGAUUUUUAUUAAUUUUAUUAAAAAUACAGUCAUACCUCAAGUUGAAUGUGCUUCGGGUUGAGUGUGUUUGAGUUACACUCCACGGCAACCCAGAAGUAACGGAGCAUGUUACUUCCGGGCUUCCCCGCUCGCGUAUGCGCAGACGCUCAAAAUGACGCCACGCGUAUGCGUGGAAGCGGCGAAACACGACCCAUGCACACGCAGACACGCCAUCGCGUCUUGCGUUCCAUUCCAGAUGGGAACGGGGCUCCGGAACGGAUCCCAUUUGCAUCCCGAGGUACCGCUGUAUAGAAAAAUCAAUCAUUAAAAUACAAUUAAACAUUGAUAGAAUUAAAACUAUGUACAUAUAUGAACUGUGUUUAAAAAAUACGAAUAAUUACAUAAAAACAGCACAGCACCAGUCCUUUCAUUAAAGCAGUCAGUUCCCAAAGGCCUUUUGGAAAAGAAAGUCUUCACCUGCCAGUUGAAGGACAACUAGGAGGGAGCCAGUCUAGCUUCUCCAAAGAGGCAGUUCCAGAGUUUGGGAGCAGCCACUGAGAAGACCCUCUCCCAUGUCCGCACCAAGCAGGCCUGUGAGGGUAGUGGGACCGAGAAGGACAUCCCUGAAGAUCUCAAAACCUAAGCAGGUUCUCAUAUGCAGGUGUUCAUAUGCAGGUUCUCAUAUGCAGGUUCACAUAUGGUGUUUCAGAUAGCUUGGACCUACAUCAUGUAGGGUGUUAUAGGUGAUAACCAGCACUUUGAAUUGUGCCCAGAAACAGCUGAAAUAUGUCUAUUUUAUUGCUACUUAUUAUUUAGCAUUUUUAGUACUGUUAUGUUUGAAACCCAUCCGUGCCAUAGACGAGUGUCUAUAUAAAAUGAAUAAAUAAACAUAUGAGGCCAAGGUUUUUCUGCAUUAUAUAUACAGUGGUACCUUGGGUUACAUACGCUUCCGGUUACAUACGCUUCAGGUUACAGACUCUGCUAACCCAGAAAUAGUACCUCGGGUUAAGAACUUUGCUUCAGGAUGAGAACAGAAAUCGCGCGGUGGUGGCGCGGCAGCAGCGGGAGGCCCCAUUAGCUCCUGUUGUUUGCAAUCUGUAGCUCGUUCCCCCAAUGCAGCGGUGUAGCUCAGGCCCCCGGAGCGUCACGUGCACAAGGCAAGCCACCCACUGGGUGGGGCAAGCUGGGGCAUAUUGCACUGCAUCGAGCCUCGCCACUGCCCCCCCCCAGCUGUAGGAUGGCUGAGGGAGAGGCGGCAGACGGAUGCAAGCCCCACACUGCCAUUUUGGGCAGCGUGGCACCUGCAGGUGCCCGAGCCACCGUGUCGCAUAGCCCAUAGCCAUUUUGUCACCCCCUUCAGGGAUGACACCCAGGUGGCCCGUACCCACUGCACCCCCCUUCCUACGCCACUUGUGGGGGGGACAUGCAUUGGAAAGAUUUUACCACAGGAAAAUCUAGUUAUUUGAAAAUCUAGAUGCAAAAUUCACCAGUGAAUCUAACCUUCCCUGAAGUCCAUGCACAUUUGCUUCUGAGCUAGGCUUUGGAUACUUAUGCUGCUGCAGAUCCAUCUGCUUUCAUUUUUGUAAGAACCAUAUAUGAGUUUGAAGACAUACACACACAAAGGUAUCACCGAGCAGUCAUUAGCACACCGUAUGGCCAUGAUGUUGAAAUGUUUCUUAUUUUCAUUCCCUAGUACUAAGCGCUAAUGCUUCAAAAACUUUGCAACAAGAGCCUCAGACUAUUAGUGUGCCAACAGGAGCCUGGAACUGCUGUAGGUUAACAAAACAUGAGUCUGAUGAUAAUCCUCACACCGAAUUUCAACAGUGGAGUAUUUCAUGUCAUAAUUCCCAGUGCACAGGGAUAAACCCCUUCUGAAAAGGUUAAUGCAGACAACAAUCUUUCCAAUGUUGUGUGUUGCUGUUUGUAGUCCCACACACACCUAAUAGACCAAGCAGCACAAAGUGUGUGUGUGUGUGUGUGUGUGUGUGUGUGUGUGUGUACAUAGAUGCACACACAAUCUUACAGGGAAGCUUAUAGUACCAAAGCAUGAUUCUAGAGAAGAUCAAAAGUAAAUGAAAGAUACCUUGACAUUUCAUUUUCAUAUGAAACAAUGGAAGAAAGUUUGCAUACUAGUUUUACAAAACUAAAAGCAGUUGACUCCUGUCACAUGCGUUAUUAUGAGACUCUGCUAGUGAUAACAGUCAUCUUAUUUUAAGCAUAAAAUCUCAUUAUUGAGAUGUUUGGGGAUUAGUGUUCUAAAUCAGUUCAGAAGAUGUCAGACUUUUCUUUUUGAGUAAAGGUGAAGCUGUUGCCAUAUCCAGAUUAAUUUAAGAUGGAGCUCAGCAUUUAUAACUGCUAUUAUUCAUUUUAAACUCCAGGGAAACAUCCAUUAACACACAUUACGGGCUUGAUGUAAGAAAAUUGAACUUAGAUCCUAUUGAAAUCAAUGGGAUGAGUUAGUCAUUACCUAAAUUCCAUGGAUUUCUAUGAGAGCUAAAUUCAAUAAAUUUAGCUUGCAAACCUAUACACAUCUGGGAAUAAGUCCCAUUGAACUCAAUGGUGCUUACUUCUGAGUACAGAUUAACAGAUUUGGACACUUAGUCUGCCUCCAGCUCUAUGUGUAUAGCUUAGAUAUGGUUUCCAAACAGAGUGGAUAUUGGUUUCAUGCGAAGACACUUAGAAUAAUUUUGGCAUGUUUUCUGAUAUUCAAACAGUGUUAGGCAUAAAACUAGAAUGCUGUAUUUGGGGAAGUCAGCAAGCAGUGAUUUUGAAACUAGCCAUCCUGUGGUAUUCGAAGACAUCACCAAGAUGUUAACUAAUACACACAGCACAGCCUUGUGAAUAUUUUUACAUAGGGUGUGGCUGCCAAAGCAACUGCAGAGACUUAAUUAAGGCACUUCCUUAGAAGGGAUGAAAGGUGAAAAUGCUUGCCAACAAAUACAGCUCUGUCAUGGACGCAUCAGUCAAAAUGAUUUGUGGAUUGCUUGGCUUGUAAAAGUUUUAUUGCAAUGUGCUGUCCGGAAAGUCUCAUGUGACUUUUUUUUAAAGUUGAUUUAAGAAAUGAAACCUAUUUUAUAGUUGUAAGAGCAAGUCACACUUCCUAACUGAAUACUGAUAAUCCCCAUUAAGUGAGACAGCACACUUGUUUUAACCCAUCACUCUCUUAAAUUAUUGUUGCUUCAGAGCCUUCAAUAAGAUGGUACAAACCAGUCAAAGCAUUUCUGGUGGAUUAUUGCAUUUGCAGGGGGUUGAAAGUACUUGGCCUUCAGCCUCAUGUCUUACAACGUGUCUGAGGCCUCAGAUAAUCCUCCAGAAAUACACUACCCAUUGAGUUACUACUUCAUUAGAGACAUACUUCAUCUCUGUCUGGUUUCCAAAUAGCUUUCAAACAUCUACUAGCUGAAUGGUAAAACCACAGAAACACAGGUGUUACUGAGCACCUGUUAGAGUAAAACAAUUAUAGUAAAAACAAAUUGUGGAGGCCCAUGAGUCUGUGGUAGUGCUAACAGCAGCAACAACUACGUCUACAAAAAGGAAGCCACAUUUAAUGUCUGGCUUUUUCGUUAGCUUAUAAAAAGGGAAACAUCAGAAACAGAAUUUCUAUUUGUGCCUGAAGGUGAAGUUUCUAUAGCAAUUGCUACUUUUGAAUAAGUAUGUUUGAUUAAGUUAUUUACACAGUGUGGGGAAAAUACUACCAACUCGUAAUAAAUAAUGAUUGCUCAUUUAUACAUAAAAAACACAUCCUGAUAGGCUGAUUUGUCCAAUCCUAAUUGCAUGCCUGCGCAGACAGGCACAGAUCAUAAUUAUGUAGAUUCACAGACUCAGAAGUAAGUCCUAGUGAAUUACAUGGGGCUUACUCCCAGGUAAAUGGAGUUAGGACUCUAGUGUUGCAUGAAGUGCAAGCUCUCAUCAUAGAGUCUGUAUUGCAUGUGUAUUUGAUGUACAUUGUCUUGCAUGUAUUCUUUACUACUAUCACGCCUUUCCAUAUGUGAAAAAGACCAGGCUAUUAUCAUCCUGUACAGCAAACAGGCAGCGUGGGUGGGUAUUGUUUUUGUUUGUUACUACAUUAUGUGUUUUUGUGUUUUAAUAUUGUAAACUGCCCUGUGGUCCUCAGAUGAAGGGCAGUAUAGACAUUUAUUAAAUCAGCAUCCGUAGUGCGUGGGUAAGGACUUUCAGUUCUUAGAAUGAACUAGUUCAACUGAAUGAAGUUCAUUGAACUAGUUCAAAACUCUCUGAACUGCAGCUGAAAGUAGUUCCCAUAAGUGCCAGAUGAAUGAAAGGUGAAAUAAGUUCAUUUGGGGGUAGAACUCUGAAUAUUUUCUAGUUCAUCUUCAUGUUCAUCCAACUCUGCUACCCCCAUUAAAAAGGAAAGAAAAUUCAUUUUGGACAUAUAUAAAGAAAGUUAGAAGGCAAAACAUGGAGCCAAUGUUCUGAGGCUCAUUAGGGUAGAUAUGGAAGUGCUGCUGUUGUUAAUAAUGCAGCACUGUUGUUAAGCAAUCGGAGGAAGGCAUGUGAGGCAUUUCUUGUAAUUUCCCUUCUGAAGAGUUUUAUUCUCUUCCAACAGGAAGAGCUCACAGCAAGAAGUCUCGGUCCAGGAACAAAAAGAAUGUUGCCUUGUGCCAGCUGUGUGGCUAGCACAAAUUAAACAGGGUAAGCCUUUUUCUAGCAUGGGAAUACAAUUAUGGGGAAAGCUUUACGUGUUGACAUUUUAUCCAUCAGACAUAUUAUUAUUUGCAUGUGGCCCCUGAUUUAGUUUUGAAUGAUUCUGUAAAGGAAAUUUUGUAACAUUUAUGUAAGAGACUGGGAUCUACUGGUAGAACACUGGUUUGCAAUACAUAAACAACAGUUUCAGAUUCCCAUUUAUUUCACAAGAGCAACAACAAAAUGUCUGAAUUAGGCUGUUGUGCAAAGAAAGCUUGUUGGAAGGAAACAGAAGCA